UACGGGGGGAGCAAGCGUUGUUCGGAUUUACUGGGCGUAAAGGGCGCGUAGGCGGUCGUGACAAGUCACUUGUGAAAUCUCCGGGCUUAACUCGGAACGGUCAAGUGAUACUGUCGGACUAGAGUACAGAAGGGGCAACUGGAAUUCUCGGUGUAGCGGUGAAAUGCGUAGAUAUCGUAAGGAAGACCAGUGGCGAAGGCGGAUCUCUGGACAGUUACUGACACUGAGGCACGAAGGCCAGGGGAGCAAACGGG
rnacentral:rRNA from 1 species